rnacentral:rRNA from 1 species
AGAGUUUGAUCAUGGCUCAGGACGAACGCUGGCGGCGUGCUUAACACAUGCAAGUCGAACGAUGAAGCCCAGCUUGCUGGGUGGAUUAGUGGCGAACGGGUGAGUAACACGUGGGUGAUCUGCCCUGCACUUCGGGAUAAGCCUGGGAAACUGGGUCUAAUACCGGAUAUGACCAAGGACUGCAUGGUUUUUGGUGGAAAGGUUUACUGGUGCAGGAUGAGCCCGCGGCCUAUCAGCUUGUUGGUGGGGUAAUGGCCUACCAAGGCGACGACGGGUAGCCGGCCUGAGAGGGCGACCGGCCACACUGGGACUGAGACACGGCCCAGACUCCUACGGGAGGCAGCAGUGGGGAAUAUUGCACAAUGGGCGAAAGCCUGAUGCAGCGACGCCGCGUGAGGGAUGACGGCCUUCGGGUUGUAAACCUCUUUCAGCAGGGACGAAGCGCAAGUGACGGUACCUGCAGAAGAAGCACCGGCCAACUACGUGCCAGCAGCCGCGGUAAUACGUAGGGUGCGAGCGUUGUCCGGAAUUACUGGGCGUAAAGAGCUCGUAGGCGGUUUGUCGCGUCGUCUGUGAAAACCCGCAGCUCAACUGCGGGCUUGCAGGCGAUACGGGCAGACUUGAGUACUGCAGGGGAGACUGGAAUUCCUGGUGUAGCGGUGAAAUGCGCAGAUAUCAGGAGGAACACCGGUGGCGAAGGCGGGUCUCUGGGCAGUAACUGACGCUGAGGAGCGAAAGCGUGGGUAGCGAACAGGAUUAGAUACCCUGGUAGUCCACGCCGUAAACGGUGGGCGCUAGGU